rnacentral:rRNA from 1 species
GUCUACGGCCAUGCUACCCUGAACAAGCCCAAUCCCGUCUGAUCUCAGAAACUAAGCAGGGUCAGGCCUGGUUAGUACUUGGAUGGGAGACCACCUAGGAAGACCAGGUACUACAGGCA